rnacentral:rRNA from 1 species
AUUGAACGCUGGCGGCAUGCUUUACACAUGCAAGUCGAACGGCAGCGCGGGCUUCGGCCUGGCGGCGAGUGGCGAACGGGUGAGUAAUACAUCGGAACGUGCCCAGCAGUGGGGGAUAGCUCGGCGAAAGCCGGAUUAAUACCGCAUACGACCUGAUGGUGAAAGCGGGGGAUCUUCGGACCUCGCGCUAUUGGAGCGGCCGAUGGCAGAUUAGCUAGUUGGUGGGGUAAAGGCCUACCAAGGCGACGAUCUGUAGCUGGUCUGAGAGGACGACCAGCCACACUGGGACUGAGACACGGCCCAGACUCCUACGGGAGGCAGCAGUGGGGAAUUUUGGACAAUGGGCGAAAGCCUGAUCCAGCAAUGCCGCGUGUGUGAUGAAGGCCUUCGGGUUGUAAAGCACUUUUGGCGGGAACGAAAAGGACUGUGCCAAUACCACGGUUCGAUGACGGUACCCGCAGAAUAAGCACCGGCUAACUACGUG